AUUGAACGCUGGCGGCAUGACUUACACAUGCAAGUCGAACGGUAACAGGUCUUCGGAUGCUGACGAGUGGCGAACGGGUGAGUAAUACAUCGGAACGUGCCCGAUCGUGGGGGAUAACGAGGCGAAAGCUUUGCUAAUACCGCAUACGAUCUACGGAUGAAAGCGGGGGAUCUUCGGACCUCGCGCGGACGGAGCGGCCGAUGGCAGAUUAGGUAGUUGGUGGGAUAAAAGCUUACCAAGCCGACGAUCUGUAGCUGGUCUGAGAGGAUGAUCAGCCACACUGGGACUGAGACACGGCCCAGACUCCUACGGGAGGCAGCAGUGGGGAAUUUUGGACAAAAGGCGAAAGCCUGAUCCAGCCAUGCCGCGUGCAGGAUGAAGGCCUUCGGGUUGUAAACUGCUUUUGUACGGAACGAAAAGCCUCUUUCUAAUAAAGAGGGGUCAUGACGGUACCGUAAGAAUAAGCACCGGCUAACUACGUG
rnacentral:rRNA from 1 species